GGUUGAUUACCCUGUGAGUACAGCUAUUUACUUCUUGCUGCCAACUAGGAAUGUUUCAAGCCUUCAUCGCAUACCGUGUGCAGAAACAUGGCAUUUCUACCUGGGAGAACCUCUUAUGGGCAUGCAUACCUUUGUGUUGCUUAUGAUAUCUGUUUCGCUGCCGGCUAGUUGCAUGCAUACCUUUGUUGUGGGUUGAUCAAUGUCAGGAGAAAAUGAAGAAGAGGAUGAAAGAUUUCAGGGCAAAGCUCAUUGAAGAGGCAUAUAUAUCAUUGGAUACUCAUCUUCAAUCAUACAAGUGACUUUGAGUGACAAGCUUCCAAUAAUAGUCGAGCAAAAUUAAAAUCUUUUUAGUGGAUGAUCUUUAACAAAUUACAAGGUGUAUUUUACUAGCAAAAACAAUGGCAUGCUUUGCACCAGGAUUGAUAAUGUUGAAGGCAUAGAUGACUUCCCAGGUGUCUUGGUAUGGAGAAUUUAAAUUGAUGCCUUGAUUUUCAUGGACCUCUACUUAGAGAGUAUCUUUUAUAUAUGUUAUUAAGGAACUAAACAUCUUCCAAUAUCUUUUGUUCUUGCAGUUGAAGAACUAUAUGUAAUAAUUAUUCUUUAUUUAAUAUAAGUCCAAAAGUGUUAUUGAUAAUUUUUAGUUAUGCCUUUUAUUUGUUGUUUAUCUUCAAGGCUUCCAACAAGUAAAAUAACAGCAUAUAAAAAAAAUUAGAAUUGUGAAAUGAACAACAUA